rnacentral:sRNA from 1 species
AUUUGUUCAUACUUACA